AGCGAACGCUGGCGGCAGGCUUAACACAUGCAAGUCGAGCGCCCCGCAAGGGGAGCGGCAGACGGGUGAGUAACACGUGGGAACGUGCCUUUUGGUUCGGAACAACCCAGGGAAACUUGGGCUAAUACCGGAUAAGCCCUUACGGGGAAAGAUUUAUCGCCAAAAGAUCGGCCCGCGUCUGAUUAGCUAGUUGGUGGGGUAAUGGCCCACCAAGGCUACGAUCAGUAGCUGGUCUGAGAGGAUGAUCAGCCACAUUGGGACUGAGACACGGCCCAAACUCCUACGGGAGGCAGCAGUGGGGAAUAUUGGACAAUGGGGGCAACCCUGAUCCAGCCAUGCCGCGUGAGUGAUGAAGGCCUUAGGGUUGUAAAGCUCUUUUAGCGGGGAAGAUAAUGACGGUACCCGCAGAAAAAGCCCCGGCUAACUUCGUGCCAGCAGCCGCUGUAA
rnacentral:rRNA from 1 species